rnacentral:rRNA from 1 species
UCAUCGAGUCUUUGGACGCACAUUGCGCCUUUUGGUAUUCCGAGAGGCACGCCUGUCUGAGCGUCAGUAAAACCCCUCGGCUAGUAAUUUAUUGCGAAGCCGGUGUUGACGGGGGAUCAACCGCAACCUGGUACUUCGGCCCCUCGGGGUCGAUAGUACGGCGGCGGUCACCCCCGUUUAAAUCCCGAGAGCGGAACACUGCGCCCAUGGUGUCGCAAAAAUAGUAGUAAUAUUCUUUUUGCCGAUGCGGUGGCCGGCCCCGCUAUAAGCCCCCACUUUUUAAAUUUUGACCUCAGAUCAGACGAGGAUACCCGCUGAACUUAAGCAUAUCAAUAAGCGGAGGAAAAGAAACCAACAGGGAUUGCCUCAGUAGCGGCGAGUAAAGCGGCAAAAGCUCAGAUUUGAAAUCCGGUGUCCUUCGGCGCCCGAGUUGUAAUCUGGAGAGGAUGCACCGGCGAAGCUGGCCGCCCAAGUUCCUUGGAACAGGACGCCUUAGAGGGUGAGAGCCCCGUACCCGGCGGCCCAGCUGAACCAUGUGGUGCUCCCUCGACGAGUCGAGUUGUUUGGGAAUGCAGCUCAAACUGGGUGGUAAAUUCCAUCUAAAGCUAAAUAUUGGCGGGAGACCGAUAGCGCACAAGUAGAGUGAUCGAAAGAUGAAAAGCACUUUGAAAAGAGAGUUAAAAAGUACGUGAAAUUGUUGAAAGGGAAGCGCUUGCCAUCAGAACCGGCGCCGGUCGAUCAACGUUCCCUUCUGGUUCGUGCACUCGGCCGGCUGCCGUGCCAGCAUCGGUCGCCGCGGCGGGACAAAGGCGGCGGGAAAGUGGCUCCCCUCGGGGAGUGUUAUAGCCCGCCGUGUAAUGCCGCCAGCAGGCGAC